UGGAAUAGCUCAGUUGGAAGAUCAUGAGACUCUUAAUCUCAGAGUCAUAGGUUUGAGCCCCACAUUGGAUGAA